UGGGGAAUAUUGCACAAUGGGCGCAAGCCUGAUGCAGCCAUGCCGCGUGUGUGAAGAAGGCCUUCGGGUUGUAAAGCACUUUCAGCGAGGAGGAAGGUGGUGAGCUUAAUACGCUCAUCAAUUGACGUUACUCGCAGAAGAAGCACCGGCUAACUCCGUGCCAGCAGCCGCGGUAAUACGGAGGGUGCAAGCGUUAAUCGGAAUUACUGGGCGUAAAGCGCACGCAGGCGGUUUGUUAAGUCAGAUGUGAAAUCCCCGGGCUCAACCUGGGAACUGCAUUUGAAACUGGCAAGCUAGAGUCUCGUAGAGGGGGGUAGAAUUCCAGGUGUAGCGGUGAAAUGCGUAGAGAUCUGGAGGAAUACCGGUGGCGAAGGCGGCCCCCCUGGACGAAGACUGACGCUCAGGUGCGAAAGCGUGGGGCAGCAAACAGGAUUAGAUACCCUGGUAGUCCAGCGCUGUAAACGAUGUCGAUUUGGAGGUUGUGCCCUUGAGGCGUGGCUUCCGGAGCUAACGCGUUAAAUCGACCGCCCCGGGGGAGUACGGCCGCAAGGUUAAAACUCAAAGGAAUUGACGGGGUCAUAGCUG
rnacentral:rRNA from 1 species